AGUGAACGCUGGCGGCGUGCUUAACACAUGCAAGUCGAACGAGAACGGGUUAUAGCUUGCUAUAAUUGUCAGCUAAGUGGCGCACGGGUGAGUAAUGUAUAGGUAAUAUGCCUCUUACUAAGGGAUAACAAAUGGAAACGUUUGCUAAUACCUUAUACUCCUUAUUAACAGAAGUUAAUAAGGGAAAGAUUUAUUGGUAAGAGAUUAGCCUGUAUUGUAUCAGUUAGUUGGUGGGGUAAUGGCUUACCAAGACUAUGACACAUAACUGGUUUGAGCGGAUGAUCCGUCACACUGGAACUGAGACACGGUCCAGACUCCUACGGGAGGCAGCAGUGGGGAAUAUUGCACAAUGGACGAAAGUCUGAUGCAGCAACGCCGCGUGGAGGAUGACACAUUUCGGUGCGUAAACUCCUUUUAUAUGAGAAGAUAAUGACGGUAUUAUAUGAAUAAGCACCGGCUAACUCCGUGCCAGCCGCCGCCGUAAGAC
rnacentral:rRNA from 1 species